rnacentral:rRNA from 1 species
GACGAACGCUGGCGGCGUGCUUAACACAUGCAAGUCGAACGGAAAGGCCCUGCUUUUGUGGGGUGCUCGAGUGGCGAACGGGUGAGUAACACGUGAGUAACCUGCCCUUGACUUUGGGAUAACUUCAGGAAACUGGGGCUAAUACCGGAUAGGAGCUCCUGCUGCAUGGUGGGGGUUGGAAAGUUUCGGCGGUUGGGGAUGGACUCGCGGCUUAUCAGCUUGUUGGUGGGGUAGUGGCUUACCAAGGCUUUGACGGGUAGCCGGCCUGAGAGGGUGACCGGCCACAUUGGGACUGAGAUACGGCCCAGACUCCUACGGGAGGCAGCAGUGGGGAAUAUUGCACAAUGGGCGGAAGCCUGAUGCAGCAACGCCGCGUGCGGGAUGACGGCCUUCGGGUUGUAAACCGCUUUCGCCUGUGACGAAGCGUGAGUGACGGUAAUGGGUAAAGAAGCACCGGCUAACUACGUGCCAGCAGCCGCGGUGAUACGUAGGGUGCGAGCGUUGUCCGGAUUUAUUGGGCGUAAAGGGCUCGUAGGUGGUUGAUCGCGUCGGAAGUGUAAUCUUGGGGCUUAACCCUGAGCGUGCUUUCGAUACGGGUUGACUUGAGGAAGGUAGGGGAGAAUGGAAUUCCUGGUGGAGCGGUGGAAUGCGCAGAUAUCAGGAGGAACACCAGUGGCGAAGGCGGUUCUCUGGGCCUUUCCUGACGCUGAGGAGCGAAAGCGUGGGGAGCGAACAGGCUUAGAUACCCUGGUAGUCCACGCUGUAAACGGUGGGUACUAGGUGUGGGGUCCAUUCCACGGGUUCCGUGCCGUAGCUAACGCUUUAAGUACCCCGCCUGGGGAGUACGGCCGCAAGGCUAAAACUCAAAGGAAUUGACGGGGCCCCGCACAAGCGGCGGAGCAUGCGGAUUAAUUCGAUGCAACGCGUAGAACCUUACCUGGGUUUGACAUGGAUCGGGAGUGCUCAGAGAUGGGUGUGCCUCUUUUGGGGUCGGUUCACAGGUGGUGCAUGGCUGUCGUCAGCUCGUGUCGUGAGAUGUUGGGUUAAGUCCCGCAACGAGCGCAACCCUUGUUCACUGUUGCCAGCACGUUAUGGUGGGGACUCAGUGGAGACCGCCGGGGUCAACUCGGAGGAAGGUGGGGAUGACGUCAAGUCAUCAUGCCCCUUAUGUCCAGGGCUUCACGCAUGCUACAAUGGCUGGUACAGAGAGUGGCGAGCCUGUGAGGGUGAGCGAAUCUCGGAAAGCCGGUCUCAGUUCGGAUUGGGGUCUGCAACUCGACUUCAUGAAGUCGGAGUCGCUAGUAAUCGCAGAUCAGCAACGCUGCGGUGAAAACGUUCCCGGG